rnacentral:rRNA from 1 species
GACGAACGCUGGCGGCGUGCUUAACACAUGCAAGUCGAACGAUGAACCCGGAGCUUGCUCCGGUGGAUUAGUGGCGAACGGGUGAGUAACACGUGAGUAACCUGCCCUUGACUCUGGGAUAACUGCGGGAAACUGUAGCUAAUACCGGAUACGACCCUCGGCGGCAUCGCCAGGGGGUGGAAAGAAUUUCGGUCAAGGAUGGACUCGCGGCCUAUCAGCUAGUUGGUGAGGUAACGGCUCACCAAGGCGACGACGGGUAGCCGGCCCGAGAGGGGGACCGGCAACACUGGGCCUGAGACAGUGCCCAGACUCCUACGGGAGGCAGCGGUGGGGAAUAUUGCACAAUGGGUGCAAGCCUGAUGCGGCAACGCCGCGUGAGGGAUGACGGCCUUCGGGUUGUAAACCUCUUUUAGUAGGGAAGAAGCGAAAGUGACGGUACCUGCAGAAAAAGCACCGGCUAACUACGUGCCAGCCGCCGCCGUAA